AAGAUUGUACUUUCAGGGAUCAUUUCUGUAGUUCAUCAUUAGAAAAAUAAAGGCUGCUAGAUUAGGGGAAGUAAUUGGAUAUCAGACCUGCUUCUUGGCAGG
rnacentral:snoRNA from 1 species